rnacentral:misc_RNA from 1 species
GAAAUGCGAUAAGUAGUGUGAAUUGCAGAAUUCAGUGAAUCAUCGAAUCUUUGAACGCACAUUGCGCCCCUUGGUAUUCCAUGGGGCAUGCCUGUUCGAGCGUCAUUUGUACCCUCAAGCUCUGCUUGGUGUUGGGUGUUUGUCCCCGUCUCCGCGCGUGGACUCGCCCCAAAGCGAUUGGCAGCCGGCGUACUGGUCCCGGAGCGCAGCACAUGUCGCGCAAACGAGUGCCUUGGUACGGCGGCGUCCAUAAGCCCCUCUCUCACGCUCUUGACCUCGGAUCAGGUAGGGAUACCCGCUGAACUUAAGC